CCCUUCUCAGGAUCACACCUGGAAAGUUUUCAGUAUUUUACCAGCCUCCUCCAAGGGAGGGAGAGACAAGCAGAGGCCUACCCAUUCCACUCCUAGUUUGGGCCGUGGCUAGCGAGUGGAAGGCAAUCUGCCACAAGA